rnacentral:rRNA from 1 species
UACGUAGGGGGCAAGCGUUGUCCGGAAUCAUUGGGCGUAAAGAGCGUGUAGGCGGUCUGGUCAGUCGGUUGUGAAAGUCAAGGGCUCAACCCUUGAAUGCCGGCCGAUACUGCCGGGCUAGAGUCCGGAAGAGGUGAGUGGAAUUCCUGGUGUAGCGGUGAAAUGCGCAGAUAUCAGGAGGAACACCGAUGGCGAAGGCAGCUCACUGGGACGGUACUGACGCUAAGGCGCGAAAGCGUGGGGAGCGAACAGG